UAUUUCAAGUAUAUUCAUAUUUCCUAUAGUUUACUGAAAAUGUACUUAGACAAAUUGUACUUUUUGUAAAUAUAUAAAAAGUAUACUAACAUUACGCUUUCAUGCUAAUACUUUUAACACACUUUAACAUAAUUACACUAUGUUACACUUUAUAGAAAUAUAUUAUUAAAAAAGUAUACUUUAAGUGAAAGUUAUGUGUAAUUUCUAAAGUGUACUUAUUUUAAAUUUGUUUUUACAUAUAUUUUUGCUAUAUUUUAAAUUGUAUGCUCAAAGUUGUCAUUGUAACGUACAUUGAAAGCAUAUUUUAAAAGUACACAUUUUAAUAUCGACACUGUAAUAUUAAGUUUGAGUGCAUUUUAAGUUACAUUUGAAUCUAAUUAUGAAGUGAAGUUAUAUACGCUUGUACUUCAGGUAAUUCUUUUGGAAAGUGUUCAAUAGUAUAACUACAAAAAUGCACUUAAACCCUAUUAUGCAAUUUUGUGCUGUGUGUAAAGUACACAGAUAGCAAUUAUUGCAGUUGUUAUGUAAUGUUUAAUAAGUUUUGAAAAAGAAAUAUGAUACAAUACAUCUUACACACAAAACCACAUUGAACAAAACACUAAAUGUUCACUUCAAAAGUACAGGUGCACAAAAAUGUGUGUUCUGCUGAAAAGCAAGUGGUUUAAAGCUGGUGCAGUGCUACAUUAUGAUCUAACAAAUAGCAUAACCCACAUUGCAACAGAAAAGUUAAUACUGGCCAAAUGCAAAAGAAAUAAACUUAACACAUUACAAUUGUCUCAAGUGUUCAAAAAAGAACAUUUCAUUAGUAUUGUUUAAUGGAUCAAAGCAGGGCUACUGCAAACAAGACCAAUUGGUGAGUGCACAUAUUUAAAAGUCGCUGACAGCACUUCAUGCAUAUAGGAGUGAUAUGUGGAGGUUGUUUGGCCUUGAUGUCUGUAAAGUAGUAGCUCCCCAAGAAUUUUAGUCUUGGGGAGUUUUUGGUUCAGUACUGAUAUCAGAAUUCCCAUAGACUUUGAAUGCACCACACCUGCACAGCAGUUAGUCACGGCUCCUCCCUGCUCAGAGCUAGCGUGCUUUUCUUUUAAGGCCUUGGUCUGCAUGGAGAGAGAAACAGGAGAUGUAAUCGGUUGAGCAGGAAGAUUUGCUGUAUUAUUGUGUUGAAGAAUAUCCUGGCUGUUUUUUUUUUUACAUAGUUGCAGAAUCUGCUGUUACAGCUGAGCAGUUCAUUGUAUGGACUGGACUAGACUCCACCAGAGAUGUUGAUGCAGGAUGUUCCCAAUUUGAAUGCCAUCCGGUU